GAUGAACGCUGGCGGCGUGCCUAAUACAUGCAAGUCGAGCGAACGGACGAGAAGCUUGCUCCUCUGAUGUUAGCGGCGGACGGGUGAGUAACACGUGGAUAACCUACCUAUAAGACUGGGAUAACUUCGGGAAACCGUAGCUAAUACCGGAUAAUAUUUUGAACCGCAUGGUUCAAAGGUGAAAGACGGUCUUGCUGUCACUUAUAGAUGGAUCCGUGCUGCAUUAGCUAGUUGGUAAGGUAACGGCUUACCAAGGCAACGAUGCAUAGCCGACCUGAGAGGGUGAUCGGCCACACUGGAACUGAGACACGGUCCAGACUCCUACGGGAGGCAGCAGUAGGGAAUCUUCCGCAAUGGGCGAAAGCCUGACGGAGCAACGCCGCGUGAGUGAUGAAGGUCUUCGGAUCGUAAAACUCUGUUAUUAGGGAAGAACAUAUGUGUAAGUAACUGUGCACAUCUUGACGGUACCUAAUCAGAAAGCCACGGCUAACUACGUG
rnacentral:rRNA from 1 species